rnacentral:rRNA from 1 species
CCCAGACUCCUACGGGAGGCAGCAGUGGGGAAUAUUGCACAAUGGGGGAAACCCUGAUGCAGCAACGCCGCGUGAGUGAAGAAGUAUUUCGGUAUGUAAAGCUCUAUCAGCAGGGAAGAAGAAGGACGGUACCUGACUAAGAAGCCCCGGCUAACUACGUGCCAGCAGCCGCGGUAAUACGUAGGGGGCGAGCGUUAUCCGGAUUUACUGGGUGUAAAGGGAGCGUAGACGGUUAAUCAAGUCUGAAGUGAAAGCCCGCGGCUCAACUGCGGAACGGCUUUGGAAACUGAGUAACUGGAGUGCUGGAGGGGCAGGCGGAAUUCCUGGUGUAGCGGUGAAAUGCGUAGAUAUUAGGAGGAACACCAGUGGCGAAGGCGGCUUACUGGACUGUAACUGACGUUGAGGCUCGAAAGCGUGGGGAGCAAACAGGAUUAGAUACCCCAGUACAC